rnacentral:lncRNA from 1 species
GUCUUGAUUACUGCAAAGAGAACGUGGUCCCCACAGACUGGGUACAUGUUUAGACCUUCAGAGCUUAGAGGAGACCACUUUUAGGGCUAGUUUUCAGGAACACCUGGUGCUGGUGGUUUAAGGAGAAGGCAGGGUUUGGGAUGUGCUCUCCUGCAGCGCUCUGCGCGUUGAAGAACCCGGCUCUGGGCUGGACUCCCAUCAGCCGAGCACCGAGGCCACCCAGGAGAUGGUGCUCUUGAACCAGCAAACGGCGCAGCCCUGACCCAGAAGCAUCCUUCAACGCAGCCCUCCCUGUUUUCUUCUUGUGUUGCACGUUAUUCUUUGGGAUUCCCGUUUUCUUUGGGGAGAAGAAUGUGCUGGUGUUGAGCCCGGAGUGUAUUCCCCUCCGAUCCAUAAUGCGAUUCCCAGGCAGGUGAUCCUAUGCCCGCGUCUGAAAUGACGCUGGUGCUCAAAGGAGGCGUUUUUUCCCUGGACUGCGUGGCUGGCAAGAUGCUAGAGCCGAGCAGGGAGCAGCUUCGUGGCUGAUUGCCCUGACCAGAGCCUGGGACGUGCUGCACCCAAGCCAAACAUCUGCUGGGUGCUGGCUCCAUCGCUACCAAGGGUGGUGAGCAGCAAGACUGGGUGCAGGGGCUCCCCACGGCCUCCCUGCCAUCCCACAGGACAGCCUGUUCCUGCAGACACGUGUCUCGGAAAGUAUAUCUCUAGUAGAUGUGGACAAUAGUGGAAUUCAUCUAGCAAGGCAGAAUCCAAUUGCUGUAUUUUUUUCCUUCUUCUAAUAUAUGUGCUGCUUCUGCAAAGAAAAUGGUGAGUGAGUAAAUUUUAGUGACUAAAGAGAUCUGUAUGUUUACAAUCAUAAUACAGAGAUGAAGUUUAUGGAGCUAUAAAAGAACCUUCUGAAGGAACAAAUAAUAGGAAAGGAAUACGCAAACUGUCAUGGCUUGUUAUGAGUAUAGCUGGGAAAAUCUAUCCCGUGCAUCAUACAUUAUUUCAGAAAGUAGGUAAAUCCAAAAACUAAAAAGCCAAACAAAAGCAAACAAAACAAUAACAUCAAAACCAAAACCCUUGCACAUGUUCAUUUCAAGCAGAACUUGGCUUCUAAUAUUUGUCAUCAUCAUACCCCUCUGAUGUUUGCUGAGCAAUCAAGUAACAUCACUUCCAAAUCCUUUCAGAAUUUUCUUUCCUCAUCAGUGGAAUUUUCUUUCCUUGUCAUUGUAGAAUAAAUUGUGUUUGCAAAAAUGCUCUGGAUCAUGUAUGUUGUAUAUUCCCUCAAACACACUUCGUGAAACUUGAACCUCAUUCCACCUUGAGUUAUCAAGCUUUGAAUACACAUCCCAUUUAAAUGAUGAUUUC